CAGCAGCCGCGGUAAUACGGAGGGGGCUAGCGUUGUUCGGAAUUACUGGGCGUAAAGCGCACGUAGGCGGCUUUGUAAGUCAGAGGUGAAAGCCCGGAGCUCAACUCCGGAACUGCCUUUGAGACUGCAUCGCUUGAACACGGGAGAGGUGAGUGGAAUUCCGAGUGUAGAGGUGAAAUUCGUAGAUAUUCGGAAGAACACCAGUGGCGAAGGCGGCUCACUGGACCGUUGUUGACGCUGAGGUGCGAAAGCGUGGGGAGCAAACAGGAUUAGAUACCCCAGUAGUCCCUGUCUCUUAUAC
rnacentral:rRNA from 1 species